rnacentral:rRNA from 1 species
GACGUCAAAUCAUCAUGCCCCUUAUGACCUGGGCUACACACGUGCUACAAUGGACAGAACAAAGGGCAGCGAAACCGCGAGGUUAAGCCAAUCCCACAAAUCUGUUCUCAGUUCGGAUCGCAGUCUGCAACUCGACUGCGUGAAGCUGGAAUCGCUAGUAAUCGCGGAUCAGCAUGCCGCGGUGAAUACGUUCCCGGGCCUUGUACACACCGCCCGUCACACCACGAGAGUUUGUAACACCCGAAGUCGGUGAGGUAACCAUAAGGAGCCAGCCGCCGAAGGUGGGACAGAUGCUUGGGUACAGCGAUCCGAGUGCG